rnacentral:lncRNA from 1 species
GUGAAUUAAAAAGGUAAAACUUAAAUUUUCUCAUGUUCUUCGCUGUCACAAGAGUAAGAAACAAGAAGAUGAAGGUGUUUACAGAAUGAUCUUUCUUUAUUAGGAAAGCAUACGAAAAGGCCAACAUUCUCUCUUUCAGGAAUGAGCUUUAUUUACCAAAGUAAUCUGUACAAGCCUUAAGGCUGAUAUAUCUUGUGUAUUGAUA